UCAUCAUAAUUGGGAAGCAUUGUAGAUAGCCCAACCAACCGAAUAUGUUCCUUUGUGGUCUCAAUUUGUCUAACAGUUCUUGCCACAAUACUCUCGAGAACAGGUCUUCUGUUAUCUUGCAGAAGAUGAAUUUCAUCAAUAAUUAUACCUUUAUUUCUCAAAAAUAUAUAAUUUUAAAAAGUAUGUAUUUUGAAAAAGAAAGCUAUUUUGAGGGGAUUUAGGGUUUGGAUUUUGUUGAUUUUUUCCGUUGAAUCAGAUAUGGAGAGAAUGCAGAAGAAACUGCAGCAUCAGCUGAUUGGAAAUGCCCCAAAUGUAGAGGAAUCUGUAAUUGCAGCUUUUGCAUGAAAACGACACACCGGAUGUAGCGGUUACUAGACUAUUUGCAUCUGCAAAGAAAGAUACUUCUCAAUAUGGCGAUUAUGGAGCUUUCGCUAACUGCUUGCAACAGUUGCCACCUGAAGGACAAAUUCGGGUAUUCACCUUAUUUCAUUUAUUCACAUAAUAUUAAAAAAAACAUCUUUUUUUAUUGAUUUUUCUUUAUUUUCUUAGGCAACUGCUGCUGAAGUCCAAACUCUGCUAGUUUAUAGGAGAUUGACUUAGUUCUUGCAGCACAACUUGGUGAUCAGUUUUCUCUCUCUCUCUCUCUCUCUCUCUCUCUCCCUCUCCCUCCCUCUCUCUCUCUCUCUCUCACACACACACAUUCUGAAAAAUCUACUCGAUUAUAGAAUUUUUUCUAUUAUAUUUUGAUUCCUACCUUCUCUUUGAUUUCAAUAUUUUGGAUUUAGCAUCUUCUGUUGAGGUUAUUCUUACACUUUUUGCAUUCAAGUGUAUGUCUCCAUGAUGCAACACACGGGUUGGUGGAGUCUUUUUAAUUUGACAUGAAACCCAGAACCCAGAGUUGCAUUUGGAACCUGCUAGCAGUAAAUCUCUUCCUGCAAAUGGUAACGGCGCAAUAACACAAAAAUUACGAGUUACCAACACUCAACAUGGCAAGUAAGCAAUCAUUAUGCGCAUCCAAAUAACUUACAAGUUGAACAACAAAGACAUGUUGGAAGAAAGACAUCCCUCGUCCAAAUCAUGGAUAUUUGAAUUUGUUGAUUUUGGAGGUGAAAUGAGACAUGAUAUAUGGUGCUAAUAAAGAAAGGUGCUUUAUGUUCUGAUACUAGCAUUGGUCAAGGGGGUACUACUACAUGGAAGGUGCUUCAAUACACACUUGCUUACAACAAUGUACACAAAUUAACUAAGGAAAUAGCAAUGUAGUACUAGGUUAUAUAGUUAGGGAAAACCUGUUAAUAAUAAUGUACAAAUAUUUGUCUACUAUUUGAAUGAUUAUUUAUAUGACAAUAAAUUUU